CCUACGGGAGGCAGCAGUAGGGAAUAUUGCUCAAUGGGGGAAACCCUGAAGCAGCAACGCCGCGUGGAGGAUGAAGGUUUUCGGAUUUUAAACUCCUUUUGUUAGAGAAGAUAAUGACGGUAUCUAACGAAUAAGCACCGGCUAACUCCGUGCCAGCAGCCGCGGUAAUACGGAGGGUGCAAGCGUUACUCGGAAUCACUGGGCGUAAAGAGCGCGUAGGCGGGAUAGCAAGUCAGAUGUGAAAUCCUAUGGCUUAACCAUAGAACUGCAUUUGAAACUGGUAUUCUAGAGUAUGGGAGAGGUAGGUGGAAUUCUUGGUGUAGGGGUAAAAUCCGUAGAGAGCAAGAGGAAUACUCAUUGCGAAGGCGACCUGCUAGAACAUAACUGACGCUGAUGCGCGAAAGCGUGGGGAGCAAACAGGAUUAGAUACCCCUGUAGUC
rnacentral:rRNA from 1 species